ACGGGUGAGUAACGCGUAUCCAACCUACCCAAUACUCAGGCAUAACCCGUUGAAAGACGGACUAAUUCCUGAUGGCAUGUAUUUCUCUCAUGAGUUAUACAUUAAAGAAUUUCGGUAUUGGAUGGGGAUGCGUCUGAUUAGUUUGUUGGUGAGGUAACGGCUCACCAAGACUUCGAUCAGUAGGGGUUCUGAGAGGAAGGUCCCCCACAUUGGAACUGAGACACGGUCCAAACUCCUACGGGAGGCAGCAGUGAGGAAUAUUGGUCAAUGGAUGGAAAUCUGAACCAGCCAAGUAGCGUGCAGGAUGACGGCCCUAUGGGUUGUAAACUGCUUUUAUGUGAGAAUAAAGUUAGGUAUGUAUACUUAUUUGCAUGUAUCACAUGAAUAAGGACCGGCUAAUUCCGUGCCAGCAGCCGCGGUAAUACGGAAGGUCCAGGCGUUAUCCGGAUUUAUUGGGUUUAAAGGGUGCGUAGGCCGUUUGAUAAGCGUGCUGUGAAAUAUAGUGGCUCAACCUCUAUCGUGCAGCGCGAACUGUUGAACUUGAGUGCGUAGUAGGUAGGCGGAAUUCGUGGUGUAGCGGUGAAAUGCUUAGAUAUCACGAAGAACUCCGAUUGCGAAGGCAGCUUACCGUAACGUUACUGACGCUUAAGCACGAAAGGUGCGGGUAUCGAACAGGAUUAGAUACCCUGGUAGUCCGCACAGUAAAC
rnacentral:rRNA from 1 species